GGGGUUGCUAACUCAACGGUAGAGUACUCGGCUUUUAUCCGACUAGUUCCGGGUUCGAGUCCCGGGCAACCC
rnacentral:tRNA from 2 species